GGACCCGUAGCCUAGCCUGGAUAGGGCACCGGCCUUCUAAGCCGGGGGUCGUGGGUUCAAAUCCCACCGGGUCCGCCA
rnacentral:tRNA from 1 species